AAGAGAUUUUCCCUCAAAAUUAUUAUUAUUAUUAUAGGUUACAUCAACCAUGCACAUACAUUAAAAGAUUCUUGUGGAUUUUCCUACAAGUUACAAGGCUUUUUGCAUAAAACAAAAAUAGAGUAUAUGUUAAUAAUACCCUCUAAAUUACCCUUACAAACAUGAAAAAACUAACAUAACUUAAUUCUUAUUCAAUUUUUUUCAGUAGCAGUUCUAUUAGUAGACCACAAUUUACUAAGCAUUUUUUUAGGUUGUGUAGGAAGAGCACAAAUGGACUUAAAUUUAGAGUUUCUUCCAAUUCCAUCAUCAUUUACCAAACCAUUUUCAUCAAAUUCAUCAUGCUCCUCAGCUAGCUUCAUUCUUAGAGUUGAAGACUUUGAUUUUGGUGACUUGAAACCAGAAACACUCCAAUUAUCCUCACCUUGAAUACUUGUAGUAGAGCUUAACUGUGUUGUUGUAUGUUUUGAUGGAUCAAUCCCAUGUGUUGUAAGCAAUGCUUUGAUAUUGCUUUGUAAUUCUGUUACUUUGCCACCAGAUGAUGCUGCUCUAGCUUGCUCAAAGAACAGAACUUGAACAACAACUCUUAAUGGGAGUAGCUCAUUUUGUGCUGCAUGCAUGCACGCUUCCAUUGAGAGCUUUUUGCAGUCAAGAAUUCUACAUAGUCUUUUCCUUUCACUCUUGUUGAGUUCUGGAUGAGCCUGCAUAUAUAUGUCAAUGGCUCUAUAGAGAUCAUCAUGAUCAUAUCUUGCAAAUUCUGGUAUAAUAUCAGCAAGAGCAAUGAAUUUUGACAAUGAAAAAUUCACAUCUCUUGCAACUUCCUGAAGGUACCUAUCCACAAGUUUUGCCACUUUCAAUUUUGAACUAUGUGAUGCUGAAGAGGACCUCCUACUCUCUUGUAAUUCAAAGUUAAUAUUCUCAGCCGAACGCGAUCGCCUUCUUUCAAAAGUUUUCAACGAUCUCGGAGGGCUAGUUGGUGGACUUUGUCCUUGUAACAUGAACUGUUCCAAUAUAGUCAUCACCAACUCAACAUCAUAGAGUGUAUCAUUUGUAUAAGAAAGUGAAGGUAUUAAUAGAUCAUUCACUGUGGCUUCCUCCAAUUGAAGUCCUACUCUUCUUGCUAAUUCCAUCUUUGAAGAUGAAGAAGCAUUGAGAAUAUUGGAUGCUUUCAAUAGUUUCAAAAGAAAGCUACAAGAAACAGCGCCUUUUUCGGUUGGAAGCAAGCUUACUAUUGACUCCAAUAGAAGCCUAUGCUUUGAAGUUAUUUCGCUGGCCGAGUCUGAGUUAGACUCAGACU
rnacentral:lncRNA from 1 species